CACUAAUGUCAUUCACUUGCCAAAUCAUUUAAACUAUGAGACAUGGGAUUUUUCCAGCGACUUUUUGGCUCUAAAAGGGCUGGGCCUUCGCCGCCCGCCAAGGAGAAGAGAAGGUGGAGCUUCGCUAGAUCUUCCAAUACGAUUCCGUCUCAGUUCAAUAAGUAUGAAUCUGUAUCGGGUCCGUAUGAUGAUAAUUUGGAUGCAAACAAGCACGCCAUAGCUGUUGCAGCGGCCACUGCGGCAGUUGCGGAGGCAGCACCCGCACUCGCGGCGGCUCAAGCAGCAGCAGAGGUCGUGAGAUUAACUAGUGUUGGCCGCGGCGGUGGUGGGAGAAGUUCUGCACCAGGUCAAGCCAGUGGGAGUGACCAUCGGCGAGAGGAGGAACUCUCCGCGGUCAAGAUACAGUCAGCGUUUCGUGGUUAUCUGGCUAGAAGGGCU
rnacentral:misc_RNA from 1 species